rnacentral:rRNA from 1 species
UAAUACGGAGGGUGCAAGCGUUGUCCGGAUUUAUUGGGUUUAAAGGGUGCGUAGGUGGAACUGUAAGUCUGAUUUGAAAGCAAGCGGCUUAACCGUUUGAUGUGGUUGGAAACUGUGGUUCUUGAAUGGGUUGGCGGUAGCCGGAAUGGGUCAUGUAGCGGUGAAAUGCAUAGAUAUGACCCGGAACACCGAUUGCGAAGGCAGGCUACUACGACUUGAUUGACACUGAGGCACGAGAGCAUGGGUAGCGAACAGGAUUAGAUACCCUGGUAGUCCAUGCCGUAAACGAUGAUUACUGGCUGUAUGUGUUCUAACAUGUGUGGCUGAGCGAAAGCGUUAAGUAAUCCACCUGGGGAGUACGCUGGCAACAGUG